CAAUAGCGUAUAUUAAAGUUGUUGCAGUUAAAAAGCUCGUAGUCGAAUUUUGGGCCUGUUUGGCUGGUCGUCCGAAAGGAUUGUACUGGUUGGGCGGGUCUUCCUUCUGGGGACCGCGUGUUCUUUAUUGAGUGCGUUGGAUAACCAGGACUUUUACUUUGAAAAAAUUAGAGUGUUUAAGGCAGGCUUAAGCUUGAAUACAUUAGCAUGGAAUAAUGGAAUAGGACUUUGGUUCUAUUUUGUUGGUUUCUAGGACCAAAGUAAUGAUGAAUAGGGACAGUUGGGGGCAUUAGUAUUGAGCUGUCAGAGGUGAAAUUCUUGGAUUUGCUCAAGACUAACAACUGCGAAAGCAUUUGCCAAGGAUGUUUUCAUUGA
rnacentral:rRNA from 1 species